AAAAAUGCCAAUAUUGCGAUACAGAUAAAGGGAAAAAGGGAAAAAUCCUACCCUCUUCACAUCAGUCUUCUUAACUUUUUUCUCUCUAAAAAAAACCCUAGCCGUACUACGAUAGAGGCGAUCUCUUCACAUCAAACUCCGCUAGGAGGAAAAAAAAAAAAUUACUUGCGCCACACUGGAGAUUGGAUUGAUCAUCGCUAUCCCCUUCUGAGUUUUCCAGGUACGUUCUUCUCUCUCUCCCUCUCCCUCUCCUUCUCUGUAUGAGUUUUUGUUGUUUUGAUUCGGUUUUGAAACUUCUCUAUGAUUUCGGGAUAAGUUUCCCCUGUUUCCGUCAAUUUACGGAAUAUUCUGUGUGUGUUCAUUCUACGUUUUUGGAGUGCUUUGUUGUGAAAAUUGGACGAAAUAUACGCAUCAAUUCUCUGUGUUCAUUUUUCCCCUUUUGGUGCUUUGUUGUGAAAAUUGAUUGUUCAAAUUUCUGCAGGAAUUUUCCUGCAUAAUUUCGUUUAAGAACUAUUGUUGUUGUUUCUGUUAUGUAUGUCCACGGGUUGUAUUUCUGUUGCUGCAUAUUUUGUUUUCUGUAGAACAGGUUCAGGAUUAUCUGCAUAAUUUGUGCUUACAGGGGGUAAUUGUAAUAUCUGUUGCUGUUUCUGUAUUCUAUGUCCAUGGGCUGUAUUUAUUUUGUUGCAUAUUUUGUUUUCGGCAGAACAGGUCUUUGUUCCCCUGUAUUUAUGCUUACAAGGUUGUUGUGUUUGUACAUGUAUUUCCCUUUUAUCAAAUAAAAUUUCUAUCGUUAUCCCAAAAAAAAAAAAAAAAAAAAAAACUUCGUAAGUACUGCCAACUGCAAUUUGUUGGCAUCGUUUGGUUUUGUUGAACGCCUCAUGGGUAGUUAGAAUAUCUUCUCAAACUUUCAAAUGUCAUUUAUCUCAAUUGUUAAUUUAAUUUUUUCCCUACCAGAAAAGUUACUGGGUUCUCUAAUAGAAGAAUUACCAUUGGGUUUUCUACAAUAAAAUGAAAGAUUUACGCAGUUCUCUACCAGAUACGAUGGUUUAGUAUUUUGCAAGAAGAGAUACCGAAUCAUAUUGAAAGGUUUAGGUUAGCUUGACUUUCCUUUUGUCUCUCUCUUUUUUUUGGGUUACGUUUUUUUCAUUUGAUGUCUUUGGGUUUGAAUUAAUUUUUUCCCUGCACAAUAUAGUCAGAAUUGUUUUUGAAGUAUUUGGUUUCAAUUAAAUUUUUUUUCUUCAGUAAAUUGACCUGUAAAAGUAUUGUCUGUCUUAUUUUUCUUAAAGUUUGGAACUUUACUUUUCAAUUUUUGUUACUUGCCAAAACUUGCAAAUCAUCCAAUCCUAUUUCUUAAGAUAUGUGGAUCAGUUUUUGGGUAUUUUACUAUUCAGUGUAGCUCAAUGAUUACAUUAUGUUGGUUUUGAAGGAUUUGAAUUUCUAUUUGUGAUGAUUAUGUAAUCAUUAAUUUCAGUUCUUAUUUCACAUCCUCAACGUUAUUUUUUGUUAUUUGAAAUUGAAUUAAAAUCCGGACAUACAUUUAUUCUCUUUCACUCAAUGUUUUGGCCUCAAGUUAUAAUCUUUAAUUUUCUCAAAAAAAAAAAAAGUUAUAAUCUUUAAUUAUUUACACAUAAUAUUUAACAAUGCUUUUACUUGGUUCUUAUUUAGAAUAACAUUUUCUUAUUUCCCAUUGGCUUUUCUUUUAUAUAUGGUUGUUAUUUUUUUUUUUUUUUAAUGUUAAUUACUGAGUUUUUAAUGUAAAUUUUAUUGUUAUUUCCUUAUUGAUAUAUGUCUUUAAUUUACUAGAAUGCUUAUAAGUCUUUGUUUCUUUUAAUUUUUGUACUGCUCAGACUAUUACACUCAAUUUAUUGGGAGGCUUUUUUAAAUGUUGUUGUUAGCUUUAUUUAUUUUGUUUACCUAUUUAUUUUUAUUGUGUGUAUCUUAGUGUUAGUGUACAUAGCCAAUCAAAAAAUAGAAAUAGGAGAAACAUCUGUUCAAAGACUUGAAAGAAUGCCGCUCCAAAUGCUUCAAAAACGUCAAAAAAGUACUAAGCAAAUUGCUACAAAGAAGAAAAAAAAAAGAACUCUAUUGUAUAUACUACCUUACUCUUCAAGUCUUUAUGUAUUUCAUAGUAUUGUUAAUUAUUAUUUUUUUUCCUUUAGAAGAGUAAACUCAAUGUACUGAAUAAAGCUGACAGAUUAGAACAACGCUACUAUAAAAUGUAAUUAUAUUUCACAAUUUGGUAUAUUAGACACUGUGAUGGUCCCAAAAUGGUUGAUUUCAAAGUGUAUAAGCUGAAUGAAGAAUGUAGACAACAGGAUUUGCUUUAUCAAAAUAAAUAGAUUUUCCCCUA